CGGACCGUCCUACCUAACACACUAGCAAGCACACCACACCGGCCAUCGUCCAUCAAUGGCCAGAUCUCUAGCGAUACUCUUUCAAAACCAUCGACCUACAAUUUCACUGCAGUAGGCGGCCUUGUAGCCCGAAGACUUCAAUGGGAGGUCAGUUGAGCGGUUAAAAGGCUCACUUCUGAGUUCUUCGUUCCAAGUUCUCGUUAUGAUUGUUCGAUGGAGGAAAGAGAGAGACCUCUUAAGAAGAUGACAGAGGCUUUCAAAGAACUUCUAGCUAUGCUGAGUUCUGGAGAGGAAGAGCUCAAGGUCAUGCAGUUCUAUGAAGCAUGCUUUCUCGUGUACCCUCGUUUUGGGUGUCUGGGGAUUGAGCUCAAGUUGGCAGAAAUGGAUUACGUCUCCAAGGGAAUAGGUUAAUAGUAUUGCAGAAGCAUCAAAGUCAGUUGAUACCUUACAUGCUUUGAUCGAUCGCAACAUUGAAUGGAAGAAGAAGAAGAAGAAAAAGAUUGUGAGAUCGCAUUUAAGGUGCGAUGUGGGUCACGUUGGACAUAAAUGUUCUAUUUUGAAUCAACAUUAGUGGCAUCUCUUGUUUUGAUCCUGUAGCCUCCAAAAAUGUGCAACAAAAGGAGAAAACUUUAGUCUCCUUUCUGUUUGAACUUUCA